UAACAAAUAUUUAGAUCCCGACAAGCGGAAUGUACACACUUAUUAAAAAGUAAAUUUCAUUUAUUGCUCGCCGAGAGCCGCUGUGCGCCAGCAACGGCAAACAAAUAAACCAGCUGUAACAACAGAAAGCUUUGCACAAUCAAGAGCGGAGCAGAACAUUUAAUUUUCCACCCGUUGUGUCUUUGUUUUCCAAUCCCGUGCUGCGAUUGCCACUGCCACUGCUACUGCCACUGUCACUGUCUCCGACCCGACCCGACCCGAGCCGACCCCUACGCCGCCACAAAGUCACAUUGACCGUCAAACUGUAAUCAAAUGAUAAAUGCUGAGCAGGAAGCCCGGCUCGACCUCGUUCUCGUGCUGUGGACUGGACUGGUCGGGCCUGGUCUGGUCUGGUGCUCGGCCAGGAUAUGCAGCCGAGCUCGACCGCGACCGGACCGGACUGGGACCGCAGGACACUGCCACAGCGGCAGCCGCAGCCGCAGAGCUGUUGAACAAAUGACAACAAAAACGGGCGAGGGCACGGACACUGGAACGGCGGCAACUGCCCACAAGACGAUUAUCACAGGUUGCCAAGGACAUGGGCGGUCCCCCAACCGCAGCACAAUUCCUCUUAAGGAUGCCACAGAAAAGUCGGGGCACUAUCUGUGUCCUUCCCUUUCUGGCUGGGACUGGGAUUGACUAACACUGAGGCUCUGUUCGCGUUUCUUUCGGUUUUAUGGCCCACGGAAGGCGACAGCACAGGGAAAAGCGAAAUGCGAAAAACAGUGGCAGAGGCAGUAAAACGAAAUGAAAGCAGGAAAAAAUUAAGCAGCACAAAAAAUUAAAAUAAACGCAGAGCCAGAGCCAAGACAAAUUCGAAGAAGUUCCAGCUGUAGCCGUAGCCGUACCCGUAGCCCUGCCAGGAGUGGGGGAGGCAACGGCAACCCACUUGCUGGCGGAUACUGCGGCUGAAUAAAAUAUGAAGCCAGGCCAAAGUUUGCGAAAUGCCGUUCAUGGCUCCGCCUGGAGAUUAGAGGCGUCGUGGAACCGCUCGCCGGUUGUUCUAUGCUGCUGCGUCUCUGCUGGUCGAUUCAUGCUUUUUGCUAGUGCUGCUGGCGUUUGCUUGGAAUUGCCCCGGCUUUCUUCCGAGCUUCCUUCCACUCCUGCCACUUUUGCUGUCCUGUGCUGGUCAUGGUACACGCACAUAGAACAUCUCCGAUGCAAUUGAGCCGUUAUCGCUGAACCUUGGAAAGGAAUUUACAUUUUGUGUAAUUCUUGCAAUAAACAAAAGCUAGGAAAUCAAA
rnacentral:sRNA from 1 species